rnacentral:rRNA from 1 species
UGGGGAAUAUUGGGCAAUGGGCGAAAGCCUGACCCAGCAACGCCGCGUGAGGGAAGAAGGUUCUCGGAUUGUAAACCUCUGUCCUUGGUGACGAAAAAAAUGACGGUAGCCAAGGAGGAAGCCCCGGCUAACUACGUGCCAGCAGCCGCGGUAAUACGAAGGGGGCAAGCGUUGUUCGGAAUUACUGGGCGUAAAGCGCACGCAGGCGGCGUGACGCGUCAGAAGUGAAAUCCCCGGGCUCAACCUGGGAACUGCUUUUGAAACGGUCAUGCUUGAAUCAUGGAGAGGGUAGCGGAAUUCCGAGUGUAGAGGUGAAAUUCGUAGAUAUUCGGAAGAACGCCGGUGGCGAAGGCGGCUACCUGGCCAUGUAUUGACGCUCAGGUGCGAAAGUGUGGGGAGCAAACA